rnacentral:rRNA from 1 species
UGGGAUAACUUCGGGAAACCGGAGCUAAUACCGGAUAACAUUUGGAACCGCAAGGUUCUANAGUGAAAGAUGGUUUUGCUAUCACUUAUAGAUGGACCCGCGCCGUNNUNNNUAGUUGGUAAGGUAACGGCUUACCAAGGCGACGAUACGUNNNCGNCCUGAGAGGGUGAUCGGCCACACUGGAACUGNNNCACGGUCCAGACUCCUACGGGAGGCAGCAGUAGGGAAUCUUCCGCAAUGGGCGAAAGCCUGACGGAGCAACGCCGCGUGAGUGAUGAAGGGUUUCGGCUCGUAAAACUCUGUUAUUAGGGAAGAACAAAUGUGUAAGUAACUGUGCACGUCUUGACGGUACCUAAUCAGAAAGCCACGGCUAACUA